AGUUUGAUCAUGGCUCAGGACGAACGCUGGCGGCGUGCUUAACACAUGCAAGUCGAACGAUGAACCACUUCGGUGGGGAUUAGUGGCGAACGGGUGAGUAACACGUGGGCAAUCUGCCCUUCACUCUGGGACAAGCCCUGGAAACGGGGUCUAAUACCGGAUGAUACUUCCACUCGCAUGGGUGGGGGUUGAAAGCUCCGGCGGUGAAGGAUGAGCCCGCGGCCUAUCAGCUUGUUGGUGAGGUAGUGGCUCACCAAGGCGACGACGGGUAGCCGGCCUGAGAGGGCGACCGGCCACACUGGGACUGAGACACGGCCCAGACUCCUACGGGAGGCAGCAGUGGGGAAUAUUGCACAAUGGGCGAAAGCCUGAUGCAGCGACGCCGCGUGAGGGAUGACGGCCUUCGGGUUGUAAACCUCUUUCAGCAG
rnacentral:rRNA from 2 species